rnacentral:rRNA from 1 species
UACGAAGGGGGCGAGCGUUGUUCGGAAUCACUGGGCGUAAAGCGUGCGUAGGCUGUUUCGCAAGUUGGAAGUGAAAGCCCAGGGCUCAACCCUGGUACUGCUUUCAAAACUGCGAGACUCGAAUUCGGGAGAGGAUAGCGGAAUUCCCAGUGUAGUAGUGAAAUACGUAGAUAUUGGGAGGAACACCAGUGGCGCAAGCGGCUAUCUGGACCGACAUUGACGCUGAGGCACGAAAGCGUGGGGAUCUAACAGG